rnacentral:lncRNA from 1 species
GGUGACAAUUUUGGAGGGGCGCGCGGCAGUUUCAGUAGGCGCGGCAAAAAGUCCCGCUCGUAAUUUUUUCGCUGGAAAAAAGGCAGGCCGCCAACCUGGGUGUAUUAUUGAUUUUGAAAUUUGCUCAAAGCAAUAUAAAUAAUUAUCUUUUUUUAGGAGUUAUCGAGAUUUUGGAUAAAAUCGGUGAAAUACAUACAUGCAUGUUAUAAUUGGCCAAUAAAUUUUCGGAAAGUUAGGUCAAUCUAGAAAUAAUCGUAUCAACAUAACAAAUAUAUGAGAUGCAUUCAUACGGAAAAAUCAUGUCAUCACUAGUUCACUUCGCCCAGUCUCCUACAAUGACUAGUAGCUAGGGAUGAAAACGGAUCGGAUACGGACGGAUAUCACUGAUAUCAUACUUGUUUUUAUAUUUUUGGUCGAAUUCGGAUUUGAAUACAGAUAAUGUCAACCAUGUCGGAUAAGAUAGGAUUGGAUGUGGACAUCAUAAAUAUAUAAUUUUAAGUAUUCGAAUAUGGAUACGGAAUCAGAUGUUGAAUAUUCGGACUCCAAUACGGACAAAUCUGAACCCCUCUAAACAAAUUCGGUCUCGAAUACGGUCAGAAAAUAUCCAUACCGUUUUCAUCACUACUAGUAGCUGAUAGGGAUGAAAACUGAUCGAAGUGGAGCGGAUUAAAAUAGUUCAGUAAUAUAUUGAUGCACCUACAUUUAACACUUAAUAAGUUAUCCUCACUCACAAAUGAUAAUUUGUGAACAUUUUAUAGCUGGCUCACGAGUCAGCUUAAGCUCUAAAUGAGCCAAGCCGAGUUAGCUUUCUGGCUCAUUGACAAGCCAAGCCAAGCCAAGCUCGGAUCGUUAUCCAACCCUAAUAAGUACAUAAGUUAAUUAGUAUAUAUGUAUAUAGUUAUUCUAUUUAAAUGUUAAAGGGACAUAAAUUUAGCGCAUGUUUUUAGUUACUAGUUCGGUCACGAGUCUACACAAGUAAUUAGCCAUUUGUAUGACAUAAUUGAGCGACCCAAACUAAUUGAGACUGAGAUCAUCAUUAUAUUUUAUUAGUAAUUAUAAUAGUUGUUUUAUUUUUCUUAUAGUUCUUCAGUUGUACCAUCAUUCUCUUUUAUGGAGUAAAUAUAAAUUGCAAGUUAUUUUUUACUAUGCAUUUUAAUCAUCAUUUUAAAAUUAGUUUGGGUAGGUUGAAUAUAAGCGUCACGAACACGGAAACAAACACAGCCUUGGUAGUAGUAUAGUACAAGCGCAAGUAGCUAGUAGUCAUAGUAAUUGUAGCAGUUAUAGUACAAAUGAACAGGUUGAAAUAGGUUUUAUAUGGGAGGGAAAAACUACAAAAACAAAAAAACAAAAAAAAUGAUUUGGAAAGUAUAAAAAAGCAAGAAGCUAUUUUUUGGAAAACAAAUAGCAAAAAAAUAAUAGUUAACAAAAAAUGCUAUAAGAAGGAAUGGAACACAAGACCUUUGCCUUGGAGUACAUACCAUACUUAUUCGGACCAGGCCGGACUGUGGUUUGACCGCUAAAAGACCGAACCAGAGUCUACAAGGUUCGGUUCACUUAAAAGAUCGCGUGUGCAAUCGAACCGCUAUAAACCUGUUGAACCGGCCGACUUUUCAUCAAACCGGUGAACCGGGCGGUUCCAUGCGAACCGGUGAGGUUUUGAGUUUUUCUAAAAUUACCCCUCUGUGCAUUCAGGUCGACCUUAUCUAGUUAGGGGUACUUUUGGAAAUUGGCGUUUAGGGUUGCUUGCUUUCCCUGGAGCCCUGGACUGACCGAGUGGACUGACCGAGUGGGAGCCUGGACUAAGCGUUUCUGGCGGC